AGUCGAGCGAGUCUGCCUUGAAGAUCGGAGUGCUUGCACUCUGUGAAACAAGAUACAGGCUAGCGGCGGACGGGUGAGUAACACGUGGGUAACCUGCCCAAGAGAUCGGGAUAACACCUGGAAACAGAUGCUAAUACCGGAUAACAACAGAUGAUGCCUAUCAACUGUUUAAAAGAUGGUUCUGCUAUCACUCUUGGAUGGACCUGCGGUGCAUUAGCUAGUUGGUAGGGUAACGGCCUACCAAGGCGAUGAUGCAUAGCCGAGUUGAGAGACUGAUCGGCCACAUUGGGACUGAGACACGGCCCAAACUCCUACGGGAGGCAGCAGUAGGGAAUCUUCCACAAUGGACGCAAGUCUGAUGGAGCAACGCCGCGUGAGUGAAGAAGGGUUUCGGCUCGUAAAGCUCUGUUGUUGGUGAAGAAGGACAGGGGUAGUAACUGACCUUUGUUUGACGGUAAUCAAUUAGAAAGUCACGGCUAACUACGUGCCAGCAGCCGCGGUAAUACGUAGGUGGCAAGCGUUGUCCGGAUUUAUUGGGCGUAAAGCGAGUGCAGGCGGCUCGAUAAGUCUGAUGUGAAAGCCUUCGGCUCAACCGGAGAAUUGCAUCAGAAACUGUCGAGCUUGAGUACAGAAGAGGAGAGUGGAACUCCAUGUGUAGCGGUGAAAUGCGUAGAUAUAUGGAAGAACACCGGUGGCGAAGGCGGCUCUCUGGUCUGUUACUGACGCUGAGGCUCGAAAGC
rnacentral:rRNA from 1 species